GAUCCUGGCUCAGGAUAAACGCUAGCGGCAGGCCUAACACAUGCAAGUCGAGGGGCAGCAGGGAAGUAGCUUGCUACUUCUGCUGGCGACCGGCGCACGGGUGCGUAACGCGUAUGCAACCUACCUUUAACAGGGGGAUAAUCCGAAGAAAUUUGGUCUAAUACCCCAUAAUAUUGAUUAAGGCAUCUUGAUCAGUUGAAAGUUCCGACGGUUAACGAUGGGCAUGCGUUGUAUUAGCUAGUUGG
rnacentral:rRNA from 1 species